GGGCGGUUAGCUCAGUUGGUUAGAGCGCAUGCUUGACAUGCAUGAGGUCACAGGUUCGAAUCCUGUAUCGCCCACCA
rnacentral:tRNA from 1 species